rnacentral:rRNA from 1 species
UGCGCAGGCGGUUAUGUAAGACAGGCGUGAAAUCCCCGGGCUUAACCUGGGAAUUGCGCUUGUGACUGCAUAGCUAGAGUAUGUCAGAGGGGGGUAGAAUUCCACGUGUAGCAGUGAAAUGCGUAGAGAUGUGGAGGAAUACCAAUGGCGAAGGCAGCCCCCUGGGACAAUACUGACGCUCAUGCACGAAAGCGUGGGGAGCAAACA